rnacentral:misc_RNA from 1 species
AUUACUUCUUCACACAUGCGGUCCGGCAUUUAGGGACCCAUUAUUCUUCUAAGAGUAGAACAAUAGGAAGAAAUCAUUAAUAAGCUUAAAAUGCUUAAUGUGUUUAUGUCUUGCAAACAAUGACAAAAUCAAAUUAGUUAACGUUAAUAUUUUACAAACAAAUUACGAUUGUGUUAACAUUAUAUCGCAAUGAGUUUUAUGUCUAAUCAACUUUGACUGGGGCGCCUUAUUAUGCGAAAAUAAUUUGUAAAUCAAAAUUACUUUAUAUUAUAUAUUUCUGCGCCUACACCAUAUAGUUAUAGUAUAAAUGGACUUAUAAUUUCUUUUCUUGUAUUCCAUAAAGUGCUAU